GAUGAACGCUGGCGGCGUACCUAAUACAUGCAAGUCGAGCGAACAGACGAGAGUGCUUGCACUCUCUGACGUUAGCGGCGGACGGGUGAGUAACACGUGGGUAACCUACCUAUAAGACUGGGAUAACUUCGGGAAACCGGAGCUAAUACCGGAUAAUAUUUAGCUUCGCAUGAAGCAAUAGUGAAAGACGGUUCUGCUGUCACUUAUAGAUGGACCCGCGGUGUAUUAGCUAGUUGGUGAGGUAACGGCUCACCAAGGCAACGAUACAUAGCCGACCUGAGAGGGUGAUCGGCCACACUGGGACUGAGACACGGCCCAGACUCCUACGGGAGGCAGCAGUAGGGAAUCUUCCGCAAUGGACGAAAGUCUGACGGAGCAAUGCCGCGUGAGUGAAGAAGGUUUUCGGAUCGUAAAACUCUGUUGUAAGGGAAGAACAAGUACGUUAGUAACUGAACGUACCUUGACGGUACCUUACCAGAAAGCCACGGCUAACUACGUG
rnacentral:rRNA from 1 species